rnacentral:rRNA from 1 species
CCCGGCACAAGCGGUGGAGUAUGUGGUUUAAUUCGAUGCAACGCGAAGAACCUUACCUGGUCUUGACAUCCCGGAGACCCUUAGGAAACUAGGGGUGCUUCCAUCUGGAAGAAUCUGGAGACAGGUGCUGCAUGGCUGUCGUCAGCUCGUGUCGUGAGAUGUUGGGUUAAGUCCCGCAACGAGCGCAACCCUUGCCUUUAGUUGCCAGCAGUUCGGCUGGGCACUCUAAAGGGACUGCCGGUGUUAAACCGGAGGAAGGUGGGGAUGACGUCAAGUCCUCAUGGCCUUUAUGACCAGGGCUACACACGUACUACAAUGGCCGAUACAAAGGGCAGCGACACUGCGAGGUGAAGCCAAUCCCGUAAAAUCGGUCUCAGUCCGGAUUGGAGUCUGCAACUCGACUCCAUGAAGUUGGAAUCGCUAGUAAUCGUGGAUCCGCAUGCCACGGUGAAUACGUUCCCGGGCCUU